rnacentral:rRNA from 1 species
AAGUCGUAACAAGGUCUCCGUAGGUGAACCUGCGGAGGGAUCAUUACACAAAUAUGAAGGCGGGCUGGAACCUCUCGGGGUUACAGCCUUGCUGAAUUAUUCACCCUUGUCUUUUGCGUACUUCUUGUUUCCUUGGUGGGUUCGCCCACCACUAGGACAAACAUAAACCUUUUGUAAUUGCAAUCAGCGUCAGUAACAAAUUAAUAAUUACAACUUUCAACAACGGAUCUCUUGGUUCUGGCAUCGAUGAAGAACGCAGCGAAAUGCGAUAAGUAGUGUGAAUUGCAGAAUUCAGUGAAUCAUCGAAUCUUUGAACGCACAUUGCGCCCUUUGGUAUUCCAAAGGGCAUGCCUGUUCGAGCGUCAUUUGUACCCUCAAGCUUUGCUUGGUGUUGGGCGUCUUGUCUCUAGCUUUGCUGGAGACUCGCCUUAAAGUAAUUGGCAGCCGGCCUACUGGUUUCGGAGCGCAGCACAAGUCGCACUCUCUAUCAGCAAAGGUCUAGCAUCCAUUAAGCCUUUUUUCAACUUUUGACCUCGGAUCAGGUAGGGAUACCCGCUGAACUUAA